rnacentral:hammerhead_ribozyme from 1 species
AUCCGUUUGACGAGUCCCAAAUAGGACGAAACACACGUUCUGGAU